rnacentral:rRNA from 1 species
AUGGCGGGUGCUGCACCACGCAAUGGUGAUUCGGCGGCCUCAGCGCUACCUCAGGCAACGACCACCCGGCGCCCUCGGGGCUGCUCCGACGCGACGACGAGUCUGACGGCCUUGGCGCUGCCCGUCCUGCCCGUCCCACCCCAGUGCGAUGGCAGCCCGCCGACCUUGGCGCUGCUUGCCCUUCGAACGUGCAGCCUAAAGAAAAAUUUAAGUUCCCCAAAAAUCCACUAUAAAGAAAUCACAGAGUAUUGGAGCAACAAUAACAAGAGACCAUCUAUGAAGAAAGGCAGCAGAUGGAAACCCCAAAAUGAAGAUUACCUGAAGAUCAAGUGCUCUGUUUCAAGAAGCAAAAUUUAA